GAUGAAGAACGCAGCGAAAUGCGAUAAAUAAUGUGAAUUGCAGAAUUCAGUGAAUCAUCGAGUCUUUGAACGCACAUUGCGCCCUGUGGUAUUCCGCAGGGCAUGCCUGUUCGAGCGUCAUUUCAACCCUCAAGCUCUGCUUGGUGUUGGGCCCUGCCCGCUGCGGCCGGCCCUAAAGACAGUGGCGGUGCCGCCUGGCCCUGAGCGUAGUACAUCUCUCGCUCCAGUGCCCGGUGGUAGCCUGCCAGAACCCCAACUCUCGUGGUUGACCUCGGAUCAGGUAGGGAUACCCGCUGAACUUAAGCAUAUCAAUAAGCGGAGGA
rnacentral:misc_RNA from 1 species